CAACCUGCCCUUCAGAGGGGGACAACAGUUGGAAACGACUGCUAAUACCGCAUACGAUCUAAUCUCGGCAUCGAGGAUAGAUGAAAGGUGGCCUCUAUUUAUAAGCUACCACUGAAGGAGGGGAUUGCGUCUGAUUAGCUAGUUGGAGGGGUAACGGCCCACCAAGGCGAUGAUCAGUAGCCGGUCUGAGAGGAUGAACGGCCACAUUGGGACUGAGACACGGCCCAA
rnacentral:rRNA from 1 species